rnacentral:lncRNA from 1 species
CCUGGAUUUUGUUAAAUUCACAGACCAAAAAGUCCUACCAUUAUAAGCCGACAGGAAAGGGAAAACAAAUGGAUAAAAGAAAUAGGUAAGAUCAUACAUAUAUGUCAUCUUCUGCGUUAGUGAAGAUAGCAUAAAUCCUAAGCUUCUCUCUUUCAGCCUCUAAGCUGCUUUGUACAUAGAAAGCCGAUCCUUCAGGCAACCUAUAUACAUCUCCUUUCCGAAGGUUCACAUCCCUCAUAUCAUCAUCAUCAGUCCAACUCAAAGUCCCACUCCCUAUACCAAAAUUUUCAGUUCAAAACUGAGAAGCUUACACCAUAAAUUCAUUAAAACAUGCAAGUACCUGUAUGGACGAAAAAAACCAUGUUUGCAUGUAGCAGAACCGGAAGAAAAACGGAGUUAGGCUCCAGGGUGAUGAAUUGAAGAUGGUAUGGGCCUUUUGUUCCAUCAGUGACUAUAGCGGCUGAGAUUUCUCCAUGUUCUGUCUGAGUUAAGAGCUUCCUGUCGUGCUUAAGAACCAACUGACCCACGGUGGAAGCAUGGCGAUGUGAAUAAGAUUCGACACUGAGGAAGGUGGGGGAAGCAAGAAUAAUGCUGAAAACUGCGAAAAAGGAAAAUGGGGAAACCAAGGUUCCCUUCAACCUCAGCAUUGUUUAAAGAGGAUAGAGAUGAGAAUCUAAACACUUGUUCUGAGUGCUGGGUGGGAAGAUGGAAAAAGUUGGCUUAGUCUAUAUAGAAGAAAGUGGGUGAUCGGGGUUAGAUACGUAGUGUUAUGGAUGGACACGUGCAGGGCCAUGCAACAGGUGGCAGGAGCUGAGGACAACUCUUCCCGCUGGAUUACAAAGUUGUUAAGGUCCAACUAGAGAGAGAAAGAGAGAGUGAGAACAUUAUAUUGCAGA